rnacentral:rRNA from 1 species
GACGAACGCUGGCGGCGUGCUUAACACAUGCAAGUCGAACGGAAAGGCCCUGCUUUUGUGGGGUGCUCGAGUGGCGAACGGGUGAGUAACACGUGAGUAACCUGCCCUUGACUUUGGGAUAACUUCAGGAAACUGGGGCUAAUACCGGCUAGGAGCUCCUGCUGCAUGGUGGGGGUUGGAAAGUUUCGGCGGUUGGGGAUGGACUCGCGGCUUAUCAGCUUGUUGGUGGGGUAGUGGCUUACCAAGGCUUUGACGGGUAGCCGGCCUGAGAGGGUGACCGGCCACAUUGGGACUGAGAUACGGCCCAGACUCCUACGGGAGGCAGCAGGGGGGAAUAUUGCACAAUGGGCGGAAGCCUGAUGCAGCAACGCCGCGUGCGGGAUGACGGCCUUCGGGUUGUAAACCGCUUUCGCCUGUGACGAAGCGUGAGUGACGGUAAUGGGUAAAGAAGCACCGGCUAACUACGUG